ACUCCUACGGGAGGCAGCAGUGGGGAAUCUUGGACAAUGGGCGCAAGCCUGAUCCAGCCAUGCCGCGUGAGUGAUGAAGGCCUUAGGGUCGUAAAGCUCUUUCGCCAGAGAUGAUAAUGACAGUAUCUGGUAAAGAAACCCCGGCUAACUCCGUGCCAGCAGCCGCGGUAAUACGGAGGGGGUUAGCGUUGUUCGGAAUUACUGGGCGUAAAGCGCACGUAGGCGGAUUAGUUAGUCAGAGGUGAAAUCCCGGGGCUCAACCCCGGAACUGCCUUUGAUACUGCUAGUCUUGAGUUCGAGAGAGGUGAGUGGAAUUCCGAGUGUAGAGGUGAAAUUCGUAGAUAUUCGGAGGAACACCAGUGGCGAAGGCGGCUCACUGGCUCGAUACUGACGCUGAGGUGCGAAAGUGUGGGGAGCAAACAGGAUUAGAUACCCUGGUAGCACAGAG
rnacentral:rRNA from 1 species